UGUGUAGGCGGUUCGGAAAGAAAGAUGUGAAAUCCCAGGGCUCAACCUUGGAACUGCAUUUUUAACUGCCGAGCUAGAGUAUGUCAGAGGGGGGUAGAAUUCCACGUGUAGCAGUGAAAUGCGUAGAUAUGUGGAGGAAUACCGAUGGCGAAGGCAGCCCCCUGGGAUAAUACUGACGCUCAGACACGAAAGCGUGGGGAGCAAACAGGAUUAGAUACCCUGGUAGUCCACGCCCUAAACGAUGUCAACUAGCUGUUGGGGCCGUUAGGCCUUAGUAGCGCAGCUAACGCGUGAAGUUGACCGCCUGGGGAGUACGGUCGCAAGAUUAAAACUCAAAGGAAUUGACGGGGACCCGCACAAGCGGUGGAUGAUGUGGAUUAAUUCGAUGCAACGCGAAAAACCUUACCUACCCUUGACAUGUCUGGAAAGCCGAAGAGAUUUGGCCGUGCUCGCAAGAGAACCGGAACACAGGUGCUGCAUGGCUGUCGUCAGCUCGUGUCGUGAGAUGUUGGGUUAAGUCCCGCAACGAGCGCAACCCUUGUCAUUAGUUGCUACGCAAGAGCACUCUAAUGAGACUGCCGGUGACAAACCGGAGGAAGGUGGGGAUGACGUCAAGUCCUCAUGGCCCUUAUGGGUAGGGCUUCACACGUCAUACAAUGGUCGGGACAGAGGGUCGCCAACCCGCGAGGGGGAGCCAAUCUCAGAAACCCGAUCGUAGUCCGGAUCGCAGUCUGCAACUCGACUGCGUGAAGUCGGAAUCGCUAGUAAUCGCGGAUCAGAAUGUCGCGGUGAAUACGUUCCCGGGUCUUGUACACACCGCCCGUCACACCAUGGGAGUGGGUUUCACCAGAAGUAGGUAGCCUAACCGUAAGGAGGGCGCUUACCGCGGU
rnacentral:rRNA from 1 species